AAAAACAAAAAUGGAAGUACAGUAUCAGUAUCAGUUUCAGCUUUAGCUUCCUUCUUGCUGCAUCAAUAAAGCCAUCACAAUGCCAGGCCCGCCAAGCAACCUCGACAGAGUGGAGGAGUACCUGCAAACUAUCCAAAAAGUUUUGAUGGCAUGGAGGGCCUUCUGCACCUCCUCUUGGUUGAGGUAAGAUAUGACAUAACCGGCCGAGCAAGGAUUAUAUCCCUUUAUAGAUCAAGUUCAGUUCAUUCUGUUAGCUGACCUGAUUGAUUAUAAGCAAAGUGCAGUGGGAGUAAAUUAGAGUUGAAUGAACACACACACACACUCACCAAACCAUGACAUUGUUGUUUUGGGACAUCAUUAAAGCAGUAAUUAGUGUAAAUG